rnacentral:rRNA from 1 species
ACGGAAGGCAGCAGUGGGGAAUAUUGGACAAUGGGGGAAACCCUGAUCCAGCGACGCCGCGUGAGUGAAGAAGUAUUUCGGUAUGUAAAGCUCUAUCAGCAGGGAAGAUGAUGACAGUACCUGACUAAGAAGCCCCGGCUAACUACGUGCCAGCAGCCGCGGUAAUACGUAGGGGGCAAGCGUUAUCCGGAUUUACUGGGUGUAAAGGGAGCGUAGGCGGCCAGGCAAGUCAGGUGUGAAAACCCGGGGCUUAACUUCGGGACUGCACUUGAAACUGCAGGGCUAGAGUACUGGAGAGGCAGGCGGAAUUCCUAGUGUAGCGGUGAAAUGCGUAGAUAUUAGGAAGAACACCGGUGGCGAAGGCGGCCUGCUGGACAGAGACUGACGCUGAGGCUCGAAAGCGUGGGGAGCAAACAGGAUUAGAUACCCUGGUA